rnacentral:misc_RNA from 1 species
CACUGUUUGCGCAGAUAUCCUAAUUGAUGAAAGAUCCAAUUUGUCCGAAUAUCAGCUAUCCCAUGCAUUUCAAAAUAUGAAACAUUUAAUUGGAAGCUUGGCAGUAAUGUCGACAGACUUCAAAAGUGGCACGUUCCUAGCUUCACUGGAAUCGGUGGAGUGUAGCACGAAAAGUCGACUUAAACCGCCUGUUGAUAUAAUAGAGCCACAGUUUAUGUGGGGCGACAACCACAAUAUGAUAAACUUGGGACUUGUUAAUCUAACCUCUAUAGGUUGUUCCAAUAUUUAUUUUCUGAGAAACACAGUUAGACUAUUGAAUCUUCCAAACCUGAAGAACAUCUACAAUCCAAAUGCAUUUACCAACGUAAUAAAAAUCCAAAUUGAAGCCAAUUUACAUGAGGAUUUCUGCAUCACAACUCAAGAAAUGCAGACUUUCAUCACCACAGAGUUUGCUUCACUAAACUGUAGACCAUGCAAGAUUUGCGAAAACAAUGUAAAUAUGUGCAAUGACUCACUAGAGAACUUGUUAGAUAAUUGUACACAUGUUAAUGGAAAUGUUAUGAUAGGACCUGAAAAUGAGCAUCUUGAGCACCAAUUUGACUCAUAUUGCGUUCUUAGAGAAUUUGAAGCAUAUUUUAACUUUUAACUAUAGCGUUUCAAUUAUUAUCGAAAACAAUCCGCAGUUUUCAAAUUUAACAUUUCCAAAUUUAAAGCGUAUCUACACAAACUCCUUGCUCACUGCCAUUAUGCUCAACAACAACAGUGACAUUUUAUCUCCCAACUUUAAAAAUUGUGACCUGAUUCAUGCACAAUUCAAAUACCUGAAAACCAAGUCAAUCUCGCUAGAUGAGAACACGUGUGAAGCAAUUCAAAGAUCGGCAAACAAUACAUUGGAAGGAAAACUUGCAAACCAUCCAAGUUUAGGAAUCAUGGGAUUUCUGAAUUUGAUAAUUAUAUUGGGCGCUUUGUGA